GAAAUAGAGUAACUACAAAAUCUCUGUAAAAUACACAAAUACUGUAUCUCAGGUGUCAUGAUUUAUCGAUCUAUUUGUACAACGUGAGCGACUGUCCCAAACACGUUACCAAACCAAAACAAACAGACGAGGAACAGCUGAAGGAAAAUCGAGGAAUAAAUUUUGCUGAUAUCACUGAAAUCAGAGAACAGCCGCCGGGUUACCUUCACAUAUAAGGUAUUCCCGCCCGCCCGUUACCUGCCCUACCUGAUGAAAAAAGGGUUUUCUCAAUGUUACUACCGCGUUUUCUGGCGUAUAUAACCGCUUGUGACCAGCCUUUACGCAUCAGUCCCCUUCAGCUGCUUUCCUGCAAGCACACCAUCACCUUCUGAGAUAAUGACACCUUGUUCACGCUUCAUCCUGCUGGCGACGCUGGUGGUGGUGGUGGUUGUGUCCCUCGCUACGGCGGCCCCUGAGCCAGGCUUCGUACGAGGUUACAGCCGGGGUUACAGCCGCCCUGCUGUAGCUGUCGUUCAACCUUAUCAUCGACCCAACCCUUACCUCCAGGGCCAGUUCAUCCGAGGAUCACCUGGUGGGGUAUUCUUUAACAGCCCAGAGGUGUUCGGAACAGGUGACUUCAGUCUGGAGUUUGGACAUGGAGGACAUAGGCGUGUUUAUGGAUAGAGAUCUACUGUCAUGUCUCCUGUUGGGAUCAUUCUUCUUCCCUCCCUGCAGCCCAAGUCGUGCAGGGGAAUAUUUUGAGCCAUCUUUUUAAAUUUUAACCUUGUAUGACCCAAAUAAACAGUGUAUACUUAAUAAAUGUUUUUAAUUCUUUCUCAA